rnacentral:ncRNA from 1 species
AAGAGUGCGUAAUAGCUCACUGGUCGAGUGACUCUGCGCCGAAAAUGUAACGGGGCUAAACACACCACCGAAGCUAUGGCUUGAUGCUUUGCAUCAGGGGUAGGGGAGCGUUGUAUACAGCGUUGAAGGUAUACCGUAAGGAGUGCUGGAGCGUAUACAAGUGAGAAUGCCGGUAUGAGUAACGAAAAGAUCAGUGAGAAUCUGAUCCGCCGAAAGCCCAAGGUUUCCUGAGGAAGGCUCGUCCGCUCAGGGUAAGUCGGGACCUAAGGUGAGGCCGACAGGCGUAAUCGAAGGACAACAGGUUGAAAUUCCUGUACCACCGUAAACCGUUAUGAGUGAUGGGGUGACGCAGGAGGGUAGUGACGCGAGCUGAUGGAUGCUCGUCCAAGCAGUGAGGCUGGUGUGUAGGCAAAUCCGCACACUUUAAGGCUGGGCUGUGACGGGGAGGGAAAAUUAUAGUACCGAAGGUCAUGAUCU